rnacentral:lncRNA from 1 species
AUGUCCAUCAGCCUGCCAGCAACACCAACCGGCUUUGCCGCACCUGUUGCCGGUGCCAGCGACUCGUCGGGCAUAGAUCUCCGGAGGCAAGCCAUGGCGUCGAACAUGACACAAAGGCUACAGCAGCGCUCGCCAACGUCGCAGAGCAACAACGGCCGGCGGCUCACAGACGAGACAACAGCGUUCCAGUCACCCCCGCCUACCCCCGGUGGCGGCCGGUCGUCGAUGAGCCGGGACAAACGCUAUGAUUCAUUCAAGACGUGGUCGGGGAGACUCGAGAGGCAGAUCAGCCACCUGGCGGGCAUCGGGCCGGACAUCCCUUCACCUGCAGGGCAAGUCGUGGAUGCCGCCAUGGAUAGUCACCACCAUUCUCACACUGUGUCCACGCCCGAGGUUGGCCGCUUCUUUGCCGCACUGGAAGGCCCCGAACUAGACCAACUCAGGGUAAGCUAUAGAAAAAUAAAUGAAACAACCAAAAAAUAAUUCAUAUAUAUAUUAGCGGUUUAAAAGCCAAUGCUGAAAAAUAAGCUACAACUCGUAUAGUCGGAGGAGGAGCUGGUGCUGCCGGUGGAUAGGACAUGGCCAUUCCUGCUGCGGUUCCCGGUGUCGGCGUUCGGGAUCUGCCUUGGGAUGGGCAGCCAGGCGAUCCUGUGGAAGAGGAUCGCGGAGUCGCCGCCGACGACGAGGUACCUGCACGUCGCCGCCGACGUGAACCUCGUGCUGUGGUGGCUCUCCGUCGCGCUCACCUGCGCCGUCUCCGCCGUCUACGCCUGCAAGGUGGUCUUCUUCUUCGAGGCCGUCCGCCGCGAGUACCUCCACCCGGUCAGGGUGAACUUCUUCUUCGCGCCGCUGAUCGCCUGCCUCUUCCUCGCCAUCGGCGUGCCGCGGUCCGUCGCGCCGUCGACGGCGGCGCUCCCGGCGUGGCUCUGGUACGCGCUCAUGGCGCCGAUGCUGUGCCUGGAGCUCAAGAUCUAUGGGCAGUGGAUGUCGAGCGGGCAGAGGCGGCUGUCCAUGGUGGCGAACCCGUCGAACCACCUGUCCGUCGUGGGCAACUUCGUCGGCGCGCUGCUGGGCGCGUCCAUGGGGAUCAGGGAGGGCGCCGUGUUCUUCUUCGCCGUCGGCGUGGCGCACUACGUCGUGCUGUUCGUGACGCUGUACCAGCGGCUGCCGACGAACGAGGCGCUGCCGCGGGAGCUGCACCCGGUGUUCUUCCUCUUCGUGGCGACGCCGAGCGUGGCGUCCGUGGCGUGGGCGGCCAUCGCCGGCGAGUUCGCGCUCGGCGCGAGGCUCGCCUACUUCGUCGCCAUGUUCCUCGCCGCCGCCGCCACCAUCCGCUACGCGGCGGAGGUGGAGGACACCCGCCUCGCCAGGGCGCUCUGCGUCGCGCUCGCCGCCGCCGCCACGCUCACCGUCGGCUGCCUCUUCGCCACCACCGUCGUGCACGCCGUCGUGCUCCGCAGCCUCUUCCCCAACGACGUCGCCAUUGCCAUCACCGACCACCGCAAGGUGAAGCCCAAGCCCAAGCCCAAGACCACCAUGGAGGUGCACUACAAGAUGGAUGGCAAUGGCGACAUCGAGGGCGGUGCUCCUGCCAUGACGCCAUCGCCAUGCAUGCCGAUGGCGACGGCAGCUUAGAGGAUUUCUUUUCUUUUCUUUUUGACCUGCCAAGCCAACGCGUCCACAUGCACAUGCAUGGUUUUAGCGGUUUGAAUUUGAUAAGAUGAAUAUUUGAAAUACAAAGUGCCUAUGAAAAUUUAUA